GGAGGGCGCGGGCCGACCGGGCGCACCGACCAUGGCCUCCAAAUGCCCCAAGUGCGACAAGACCGUGUACUUCGCCGAGAAGGUGAGCUCCCUGGGUAAGGACUGGCACAAGUUCUGCCUCAAGUGCGAGCGCUGCAGCAAGACGCUGACGCCCGGGGGCCACGCCGAGCAUGACGGGAAGCCGUUCUGCCACAAGCCGUGCUACGCCACCCUGUUCGGACCCAAAGGCGUGAACAUCGGGGGCGCGGGCUCCUACAUCUACGAGAAGCCCCUGGCGGAGGGGCCGCAGGUCACCGGCCCCAUCGAGGUCCCCGCGGCCCGAGCAGAGGAGCGGAAGGCCAGCGGCCCCCCGAAGGGGCCCAGCAGAGCUUCCAGUGUCACAACUUUCACCGGGGAGCCCAACACGUGCCCGCGCUGCAGCAAGAAGGUGUACUUCGCUGAGAAGGUGACGUCUCUGGGCAAGGAUUGGCACCGGCCCUGCCUGCGCUGCGAGCGCUGCGGGAAGACACUGACCCCCGGCGGGCACGCGGAGGUGAGGGGAGCGCAACGGGGCUUGGGGGCCGGGCAGGGGCGCGGGGUGUGGGGGAUGAGGGUGAGAGGCGCGCCUGGAGGGGAUGGGGGGUGGUGCUUCUGGGAGCUGCGCUGCCGUCUCCCCCACGGGGAGCCGGCCUGCCCGUUCUGGAAGCCUCCAGGUGAUGGAUCAUGGGGGGAGUCUGUGGACUCCUCCCUCAGCACCCACCUUCUGCCCCAGCACGAUGGCCAGCCCUACUGCCACAAGCCCUGCUAUGGAAUCCUCUUCGGACCCAAGGGAGUGAACACCGGUGCGGUGGGCAGCUACAUCUAUGACCGGGAUCCCGAAGGCAAGGUCCAGCCCUAGGCCACAGCGGCUGUCAUGAUGUGGGCUCACCUGCGCCCCAGACCCUGCAGGGGCCCCCCUGCUUGGCUCUGCUGGGAGAGUGCUCAGCCGCCCAGUCCUGCCUGCAAGCCCAGGGCGAGUAUUGGAGGAGGGGCAGCCACGGGCAGAGCGCCAUGCCCAUCCCUGAGUCUCUAGUGUGUCUGCCCCCUCUGGCGUCCUCUGGGCGUCCCAUGACCCCUUCUGUGUCUGCGUGUCCGAAUCCCCGUGUGACCCUGUCCCAGCGUUUUCCUGCCGGCCCUGCGCAUCCCUGCGUGUCCCUGUGUGUCCCUGUGGCGCUGUCCGCUCUCCCUCUCCUGCUGCCCACCCACCUGCCAGUGUUAUUUAUGCUGCCUUCAUGGGUGAUGGCCACGCCCCCACCAUGUCCCUGGCAGAGGACUUCCCUCCGGGAUCCCCUGCCUGGUGCCCACACGUCCUCGCAAGCGCUCGCCACCCUCACGUGGCCCACCUGCUGUUGAGCCUUGUGCUGUCAAUAAACGGUUU
rnacentral:sRNA from 1 species